rnacentral:rRNA from 1 species
CCUGGUGGCUAUGGCGGGGAGCCUCCACCCGAUCCCAUCCCGAACUCGGCCGUUAAACUCCCCUGCGCCGAUGGUACUAAGUCCCAAGACUUGGAAGAGUAGGUCGUUGCCAGGC